rnacentral:rRNA from 1 species
UGGGCGUAAGGAUGCGUAGGCUGGAAAUCAAGUCGAGAGUGAAAUCCAACGGCUCAACCGUUGAACUGCUCUCGAAACUGGUUACCUAGAAUAUGGGAGAGGUAGAUGGAAUUGGUGGUGUAGGGGUAAAAUCCGUAGAUAUCGCCAGGAAUACCGAUUGCGAAGGCGAUCUACUGGAACAUUAUUGACGCUGAGGCAUGAAAGCGUGGGGAGCAAACAGGAUUAGAUACCCUGGUAGUCCACGCCCUAAACGAUGCACACUAGUUGUUGCGAUGCUAGUCAUUGCAGUAAUGCACUUAACAGAUUAAGUGUGCCGCCUGGGGAGUACGGUCGCAAGAUUAAAACUCAAAGGAAUAGACGGGGACCCGCACAAGCGGUGGAGCAUGUGGUUUAAUUCGAAGAUACACGAAGAACCUUACCUGGCCUUGAUAUCCUAAGAAUCCUUUAGAGAUAAGGGAGUGCUAGUUUACUAGAACUUAGAGACAGGUGCUGCACGGCUGUCGUCAGCUCGUGUCGUGAGAUGUUGGGUUAAGUCCCGCAACGAGCGCAACCCUCGUGAUUAGUUGCUAACAGUUCGGCUGAGCACUCUAAUCAGACUGCCUUCGCAAGGAGGAGGAAGGUGAGGACGACGUCAAGUCAUCAUGGCCCUUAUGGCCAGGGCUACACACGUGCUACAAUGGCUAGGACAAAGAGACGCGAUACUGCGAAGUGGAGCAAAUCUUAAAACCUAGUCUCAGUUCGGAUUGGAGUCUGCAACUCGACUCCAUGAAGCUGGAAUCGCUAGUAAUCGU